rnacentral:pre_miRNA from 1 species
CCACCCCCCGACCCCCUCCUCUGAAGAGGAGGGGGAGAUUCGGUGACGUUCUGCUCCCCCUCCUCUUCAGAGGAGGGGGGCGGGGGGUGG